rnacentral:rRNA from 1 species
GACGAACGCUGGCGGCGUGCCUAAUACAUGCAAGUCGAGCGGAUGAAAGAGGAGCUUGCUCCUCUAGAUUCAGCGGCGGACGGGUGAGUAACACGUGGGCAACCUGCCCUGUAGAUUGGGAUAACUCCGGGAAACCGGGGCUAAUACCGAAUAAUCCUUCGGACCUCAUGGUCCGAUGUUGAAAGACGGUUUCGGCUGUCACUACAGGAUGGGCCCGCGGCGCAUUAGCUAGUUGGUGAGGUAACGGCUCACCAAGGCCACGAUGCGUAGCCGACCUGAGAGGGUGCUCGGCCACACUGGGACUGAGACACGGCCCAGACUCCUACGGGAGGCAGCAGUAGGGAAUCUUCCACAAUGGACGAAAGUCUGAUGGAGCAACGCCGCGUGAGUGAAGAAGGUUCUCGGAUCGUAAAACUCUGUUGUGAGGGAAGAACAAGUACCGGAGUAACUGCCGGUGCCUUGACGGUACCUCGUUAGAAAGCCACGGCUAACUACGUGCCAGCCGCCGCGGUAAUAC